AUCGCUUCUCGGCCUAAACAGACCGCUUCUUGGCUAAGAUCAAGUGUAGUAUCUGUUCUUAUCAGUUUAAUAUCUGAUACGUCCUCUAUCCGAGGACAAUAUAAAAAAAAAAGUCGAGAAACACUUUUGAGAUGAUAUCUGGUUUUAUUAAAUAAUUUUUUGGGCUCAAAUCACAGCCAGGAAAAAUAAAGACUCA